CGCCCCGCUCGCGUCCCCCUGGCGCGCGGGCUGGAGAGGCCCGUUCCGCCCGCGUGGGAGAAGGCGCCGAGCCGCCCGAGCUGGGGAUGUUCACGGCCCUGCACAAAGCUCUGGUCCGCCAGCCUCAGUUUCCCCGUCUGCCCCGUGAAGAGCAGGACUGAGCUAAAGGUCCCCGCCCUGAGGUUCCAGGAGUGGGCCGCAAAGGACUCACCCCCACUGCGGGGCAACAACCCUGGGCUGUGGGUCGCUCCCAAGGACUGUGGCCCUGCGGCGGUGUGUAUUAAUCUCCCCGCCUGUGGCUGGUGCUCAGCACAGCGCCCCACCCAGAUGCCCCGUCCCUGGACCCGCAUGCCCUCGCCCCUGCACCGGGUGCUGUUGCUGACCUGCCUUACAGACGAGGAAACUGAGGCUGAGAGCACAUAGGCGUCAGGAGCGGCAGAGCCGGGAUUGGCCAACACCCCUCGGCUGAACCAUUUACAGGAAAGCUGCAAGUAACACAGGGGCAUCCCGCAGACCCUUCCCCCGGAUUCCGCAUCGUUACCGCCUUGCAUCACCAAGGUCAAGGUGCAUGCACGUGGAGAAGGCGCCCUUGGCCCAGACUGUCUGUGGGUUUCGCCAGCGCGUCUGUCCGUUAGCUUCCUGCUCCUGCUCAGAACCCGCCCCGGAGGGCACACGCGACCUACGGUCGUCCCCUCCCAUCCGUGACGCUGCGUCAGAC